AGCCAAACACAUAAUACAGUAGAAGAGGGGAGUAGGCAGGCAGCUAGGUUAGUUUUAGUCACUAAUUCUGUUUAGAGUUAAGUCUAACUUCAGAAAUUGUAACAGUUGUGAAGGAAUUCCAUAUAAGGUUUUUCUUUUCGUUCAUCUUCUUCUUCAUUUUCUUCACCAUCCUGUUCGUUUCUCUCUGAUCGCAUACUUGCAGACACAGGCGCCAGAGGCAUAAUUGGAAGCAUUAAGUGAAGGGCAUCUCGAUCUGUUACUCAAAGCACUCGAAGAGGAUCAAAAUUAGGGAGGCAAGCUUCUGAAUCCUAAUCUAUCUCUCAAAAGUUAGAAUACUAGAAUUUGUUUCUUGGAUUGAAAUGGGUAGACAGUUGAUAAUUUCUUCUUCCUCUCCUUUAAUGACUUUUAUCGAAUGGAACUACCUUUUGUUUAUUGGUAGUCCAUGUUUUUGUUUUUGUCAAGCUUGUCUUAUGGAGCAUUUUGCAUUAUUAGGGGGCCACUGUGCAAAACAUAGAAGUUGAUAAUUACAUUUAGGACAUGAUGACUCUUUUCAACUCGGUUGUGUUGAGAAACCGAAGGAAGGAAUGUUGGGUUGUUUUAUUUUUUCGGUAUAAGAAGUUAGGGAAAUGGGGAACUAGAAAAUGACAAUACCACCAUUGAAAUGUAAGCUAAUAGAAUUUGUGGUUUCCUGUAAGCUUUGCACAAGCAUUUUAUUUCUUGAUAGUUGGGUUAGCCUUACUCAAACGAUCAUGGAUGGUCCUGGAAUGUAGUGUACUUGGUUCAAGUUGGGCUAGUUUGUCAGAUGUCUUGAAUGUUUAAUGUUUUUAGAUGUUUGUUAUGUUUUACAUCACAUCCUUUAAAGAGUUAUUGAGUGUAGAUUAAAAUUUCCUACAUGAUUUAUAAUCUAAGUUGAGUUUCGAUGUGAGGUUUAGAAAAGGACAUAGAAUCUGUGGCAUCUAGUUCUCCUCCAAUCCCAUGCCCCAUUCCUGCAUAAUUAACUGUACUUCUGAAUGAUGUGAAGCUAUUGGCGGUGAUGACAAUAAUGAACAAUUAUAAUUGAUAAAUAUUAGUAAUUGAGUGCUUUCAUGAAAUCUUCACUAUCUUCAGCUCUGAUGUUGUUUUGAUACUAUUUAGUGCUUCUGUUGAUAAAUUUUAAAACUGCCUGAUGCACCAUUCUGAUAUUAUUGCAGGUAAGCAGAAAUAAUUACUGAGGAAAAAAGAAAAGAAAAAGGAGGCUUCUACAUGUCGAAAUGGAAUGGAACUACAUUGAUUGAUCCCUGCAAUACAAUUUUUUUUUUUGGAUAACCAUGUCCGGGUUUUAUACUUUUACUAUAUCAAGUGCUAUACAAUGUUUUGCUGCUUGGUUCGACUUUUUUGAACAUGGACGUUGAGAUUUUUCUAGUCAUUCAUUACCCUAUGGAAAAAAUACCAUGUAGAUUCAUCACUGCUUAUGUUUGUAACUUUAGUCAUUCUCUUUUUUCUUUUGUUGCCCUCUUUUCUAAUCUCAGCUGUAGGUUCCCUCCUUAGUCUUCUUCCAUCUCAUCCCAGCCAUUUUGUGCUUUAUGCGUACCUUAGGGGUUCAAAUAUGCAAUGAGGUACAUAUUCGAAUUCUUGAACUGCAUCUGCAUGAUGGAGGUGGUAGACCUAUCAAUUUGAUUGAAACCUUUAGUUUAGUAAGGAUUGCACUUUGCAGUCUUCUAAAAUUUAGUCGAGUUGUAAACUAUUAUUCAGCUCAAGAACGUAAUUUUUCAUAUCUUCCGAUCAAGACAUACUAAUAGAAUUUGUGGUUGGAGCAUUUCAUUUA